rnacentral:rRNA from 1 species
GACGAACGCUGGCGGCGUGCUUAACACAUGCAAGUCGAACGGAAAGGCCCUGCUUUUGUGGGGUGCUCGAUUGGCGAACGGGUGAGUAACACGUGAGUAACCUGCCCUUGACUUUGGGAUAACUUCACGAAACUGGGGCUAAUACCGGAUAGGAUCUCCUGCUGCAUGGUGGGGGUUGGAAAGUUUCGGCGGUUGGGGAUGGACUCGCGGCUUAUCAGCUUGUUGGUGGGGUAGGUGUUUACCCAGGCUUUGACGGGUACCCGGCCUGAGAGGGUGGCCGGCCACAUGGGGCCUGAGGUACGGAGCAGACGGCUACGGGAGGCAGUAGUGGGGAACAUUGCACAAUGGGCGGAAGUGUGAGGAAGAAACGCCGCGGGCGGGAUGACGGCCUUCGGGGUAUAAACCGCUUUCGCCUGUGACGAAGCGUUAGUGACGGUAAUGGGUAAAGAAGCACCGGCUAACUACGUG